GAGACUCCCUUAUGGGACAGGACUUGCUUCAGUGGGGCUUUGGUGCUCACUGAGUCUGCCCCUUGAGUGUGGCACU
rfam:Myotis lucifugus cont2.2142, whole genome shotgun sequence.